rnacentral:rRNA from 1 species
UACGUAGGGUGCGAGCGUUGUCCGGAAUUAUUGGGCGUAAAGAGCUCGUAGGCGGCUUGUCGCGUCGUUCGUGAAAAACCCGGGGGCUCAACUCCGGGCUUGCGGGCGAUACGGGCAGACUGGAGUACUGCAGGGGGAGACUGGAAUUCCUGGUGUAGCGGUGGAAUGCGCAGAUAUCAGGAGGAACACCGGUGGCGAAAGGGCGGGGUCUCUGGGGCAGUAACUGACGCUGAGGAGCGAAAAGCGUGGGGGGAGCGAAACAGGG